UACGUAGGUGACAAGCGUUGUCCGGAUUUACUGGGCGUAAAGAGCGCGCAGGCGGUCGUUCAAGUCGAGUGUGAAAGCCCCCGGCUCAACUGGGGAGGGUCAUUCGAUACUGAUCGACUCGAAGGCAGGAGAGGGAAGUGGAAUUCCCGGUGUAGUGGUGAAAUGCGUAGAUAUCGGGAGGAACACCAGUGGCGAAGGCGGCUUCCUGGCCUGUUCUUGACGCUGAGGCGCGAAAGCUAGGGGAGCAAACGGG
rnacentral:rRNA from 1 species